UGUUGUAGUGUGCAAGCAGUAGAACUCCCACUUACUUUGUCUGCAGUAUGAACAAAAUAUUUCCAGUCUGCUUUUUUUUUUAGUAUUAAUGAAAGCGAGAUGGCAUUUGGAGUUGGGCGAUGUGCUAUUUUCUUUUUGCUGAGAUGUAAAACGCUUCGAUGAUAAUGGUGGAAAAAGAUUAAUGAAAAGUCUCAACAUGCUUGCAAUGAUGCAGACUUAAAAUGUUUGCACCUGAGAAAGAAUCCAGAAAGAAAUCAUACUUACCUUUGUGUGCCGCCCCUUCAAUCAGCAGUUUGCUAAGCAGUAAUACCAGAAAAAAAGACUUAAAAUAGGUGAGUGUUGUUACAUGUUCUUAUAAACAAUAGGCAUGCAGUUAUGAAGGCUGAUACUCAUUUUUGCUAUAAAUCAAAUUUAGCAUUAGUUUAAGUCAACUUUUGCACACUCAAAGGAGCUUUAGACUGCUGUUGUAAGCACUAUAUAUAUAUAUAUAUAAAUAGAGGGAGUGAGAGAGAGAGAGAGAUUUUUAUUGAUUUUUUUUUUUUUUACAAUUUUUCAAUACAAACAAUUUAAAUUACAUUAAUAUAUGCACUUUUCUGGGGUUUCUGACAUUUUCUGGCAUUGCCACAAACUGGAUAAUCCAGCUGUCAACAGUUUGUACAACGCAAGAGCCAUUUCCUGGGUUCAUCAUUGUUUGGAGCAGAUUAGUAGAGGGUAGUGGAUCUCAUAUGGCCCGGUCAGAGGCCAUCAUUGAAGGGCUUAACGGAUUAAUGUUGCUUCACGCUCUCACUCAUUCUCUCUAAUAUUCAAUCAAAUUGUGUGCUGGGUGAACUCAUGCAGCACACUCUGUACAAACAUGUCAUAUCACUGUAGUUUAACAAUACACAUCUAUUUGCUGAACUCUGUACAAGCACAUAAUACAUAUUUCUGCCAGAUGGCUUGCUUAAGGAUUUCCCUGACUCCUGUUUAGCACUCAGACGUACCAGUAUUACAGCAUUUGUUGAACUACUGUGUAAAGCUAUCUGUGGCAACUGAGUCAUGGUGUAGUAGUGUCCAUGUGCUUGAGGAGGAUGGGUCAAAGGCUAAAUCCCUGCUUAAAGACUCCGUAGUGAGCCUUUUCUAUCAACAGACAGGCCAUUUCAGUAUGUGUUGGAUAAGAUGUAAUUUCCCAUCUGCUUUAUGGCUAUUUCUGAUCCCUGGGCUCUUGUCAGCAAACUCCUCAGGACAGAUAUCAUCAGUAAUAUAAGGAGGACUCUGGCAAUACUUAG
ensembl:lncRNA